UAUUUUCAGACACAUUCCUUUUUUUCUUCUACCUCUGUCUCUUCCAGGAUUAUUCAUAGAAGCAGUCAUGACCAGGCUUUCCCAGCCAAAAUGAGCAGAAGGGGGAUUUUGUUUCUAUGGAGAGAUCCAGAGCAAGAGGAGUCAUGGUCCAAAAUAGGAUCUCCACCAUGAAUGUACAUUAUGGGCAAUGUACAGGGAAAAGGGACAGCAGCUCAAACUACUUAUGUGUCGUGAUAAAUGAUUGGCCAGUGUCUCAAAGUGACCUGAAAAAUUACACAGGCUGGACUGGCCAGACUUUCUGAACUGCUGAGUCUGUUUUGUUUGGGCACAUGAUUCAGACCCAGAAAUGAGAAACAACAAGAGGAAGAUCCCAGACCUGCGACGGUUUUGACUUCUGCAAUCCUUUGCUCUCUGCAAGUUGUAAGACAUGUGGGAAUUGUGGCUGCCAGCAGCUGAUGCUCUGUUUUACCCAUCCAACGCAGUAAACCAGUUUGUUUUUCUGUUUGUUGAAAUCCUAUCUGCCCAAACUUCUGAGAGAUGUUUUUAAAGGAUUUUAACAAAGGCCUUUUGCAUGGGAGUCAUUUUGUAUUUUGUGGGCAUCAUCUCAUACAGAGGUAUUUUCUUGAUUAAGUGUAAGUUUUAUUAAGCUCUCUCACUAAAGGAUAUUCCUUCUUCUUCCCCACAUUUCUUUUGCAGUAU
rnacentral:lncRNA from 1 species